rnacentral:rRNA from 1 species
AUAUUGGACAAUGGGCGCAAGCCUGAUCCAGCCAUGCCGCGUGAGUGAUGAAGGCCUUAGGGUUGUAAAGCUCUUUUAUCCGGGACGAUAAUGACGGUACCGGAGGAAUAAGCCCCGGCUAACUUCGUGCCAGCAGCCGCGGUAAUACGAAGGGGGCUAGCGUUGCUCGGAAUCACUGGGCGUAAAGGGCGCGUAGGCGGCGUUUUAAGUCGGGGGUGAAAGCCUGUGGCUCAACCACAGAAUGGCCUUCGAUACUGGGACGCUUGAGUAUGGUAGAGGUUGGUGGAACUGCGAGUGUAGAGGUGAAAUUCGUAGAUAUUCGCAAGAACACCGGUGGCGAAGGCGGCCAACUGGACCAUUACUGACGCUGAGGCGCGAAAGCGUGGGGAGCAAACAGG